rnacentral:rRNA from 1 species
GGUAUGCUUAACACAUGCAAGGCAAGCGAGCGAAACUGUACUUGUACAGUCUAGCCAGCGCCGGACGGGUGAGUAACACGUAAGAACCUACCUUUAGGAGGAGGAUAACAACUGGAAACGGUUGCUAAUACUCCAUAUGCUGAGGAGUGAAACCCUUUCAGGGGCCUAAAGACGGGCUUGCGGCUGAUUAGCUAGUUGGUGAGGUAAUGGCUUACCAAGGCGACGAUCAGUAGCUGGUCUGAGAGGACGAUCAGCCACACUGGGACUGAGACACGGCCCAGACUCCUACGGGAGGCAGCAGUGAGGAAUUUUCCGCAAUGGGUGAAAGCCUGACGGAGCAAUACCGCGUGAAGGAUGACGGCCCGUGGGUUGUAAACUUCUUUUCUCAAGGAUGAAUACUGACAUUAUUUGAGGAAUAAGCAUCGACUAACUCCGUGCCAGCAGUCGCGGUAAUACGGGGGAUGCAAGCGUUAUCCGGAAUGAUUGGGCGUAAAGAGUCUGUAGGCGGUUUUUCAAGUCUGGUGUCAAAGACUAGGGCUUAACCCUGGGUCGGCAGCGGAAACUAGAAAACUUGAGUACGGUAGAGGUAGAGGGAAUUCCCAGUGUAACGGUGAAAUGUGUAGAGAUUGGGAGGAACACCAACGGCGAAAGCACUCUACUGGGCCGAAACUGACGCUGAGAGACGAAAGCUAGAGUAGCGAAUAUGAUUAGAUACCAUAGUAGUUCUAGCUGUAAACGAUGGAUACUAAGUAUUGGGUGAUUCAAAACAUUCAGUAUUGUAGCUAACGCGUUAAGUAUCCCGCCUGGGGAGUAUGCUCGCAAGGGUGAAACUCAAAGGAAUUGACGGGGGCUCGCACAAGCAGUGGAGCAUGUGGUUUAAUUCGAUGAUACGCGAAGAACCUUACCAAGGUUUGACAUGUCACGCCGAGUCGCGAAAGUGACUCUUUUGCUGCUGGACUGAGUCCGGCAUUAAGCAACGUGAACACAGGUGGUGCAUGGUUGUCGUCAGCUCGUGCCGUGAGGUGUUAGGUUAAGUCCUGCAACGAGCGCAACCCUUAUCGACUAGUUGCCAUUUGGGAAACUAGCGAGACUGCCGGUGAUAAGCCGGAGGACGGUGAGGAUGACGUCAAAUCAGCAUGCCCCUUACAUCUUGGGCUACACACGUGCUACAAUGGCUGGGACAAUGGGAUGCAACUUCGCGAGAAGAAGCCAACCUCAAAAACCCAGUCUUAGUUCGGAUUGCAGGCUGCAACUCGCCUGUAUGAAGCCGGAAUUGCUAGUAAUCGCUGGUCAGCAAUACAGCGGUGAAUACGUUCCCGAGCCUUGUACACACCGCCCGUCACACCAUGGAAGUUGGUUCCGCCCGAAGUCGUGGAUCUAACCUUUUGGAAGAAAGCGCCUACGGUGUAACUAGUAACUAUGGUGAAGUCGUAACAAGGUAUCCGUACUGGAAGGUGUGGAUUGGAAUACCUCCUUU